CGACCAAUAAGAGAUGACUUGCAACGGAUUGACGUGAAAGUACCUGGCUUAUCCUGCCCCUGUCCAGUUAAGUGGUGGAGAGUUUGGGAGCUGUGAGCUCUGAUAGAGAAAUGUAUCAACCACCACGAACAGGUUGGUGUAUUGGGGCGGAUUGUUCUGUCCUCUGUAUUUCAGACCAAAGCAAGACAAUGUUUAAAGCUCGCUAUGGAUCUACUAACAGGAUCCAUUUUGAGACGACAGAGCAGAAAACACGUUAUGGA